rnacentral:piRNA from 1 species
UGCCGAACUUCGAGUGGCCCAGAAAGGACCAU